CCUCUAGGAUGGAUCAGGAUAUGGAUUCUCAACAGGGGCAGACCAACUAGGGAUCUGCCCCACCAGCAAGGACCAGGCAGAAGGGGUGGAAGGGAUGGAAGGGGAAUAGUAUUUGGGAGGGCAGGUAUUCGGUGAGUGAUGAGUCCAGAGUCCACCAGGCUCCUAGGAACAAUUCCGGGAUGCAGUGGUACGGUGGGGUUCUUACCAACUGCUCUGGGUGCAGCAGGUCCUCUAGGAUGGAUCAGGAUAUGGAGUCUUCACAGGAGCAGAGCAACUAGGGGUCUGCCCUAGCAGCAAGAACUGGAUUGAAAGACUUCACAGCAAAUGUCCGUUGCUUGGUCAUUCUGUUCCCUUUGCUGAUGGUCAGCGGCAUUACUGCUUCCUCCACAGUUUCCAGAGGUUUCAGAGGCAAAGGUGGUGAAUGAAUCAUUGAUCUGUACCAACAGCAAUGCCUGAAAAAGGCCAACCACUAUUAUUGCCCUUUGUUUAGGUGAAAGUGUUGAUCAUAUGGAGCUGUGGAUACUUACAGAGGCAGAAAUGCUAGCUAAUCUCUAUCUGCUGAGAGAAAGAACCACAUGACUGACUGCCAUUUUUGCAUAGCAAUUCUACUUGUAAAUAAAUGCCUGAU